AAAGCCCACCUGGUAAGGUCUAGCCAACCGCCAGUAGCCAGCCUUGGAGCCUGUAGGGUAACCGGCAGGUUUAAGCGUAGGUAGGCAAGGCAGCGGGCCGAAAGCCAUAGCGCUGAAGGGAUUGAGCCUCGAAAUAAAAUUUAGUUGGGAGGGCCGAUGCUCUGACCCAAGCAGAAGGCAACAUGGCGGUAAUCAUUAAAGGCGAGACUACCGCCAUCUCCUCGGGGUCGCAGACCU
rnacentral:ncRNA from 1 species